GACUCAUUUAAACCUAAAGGCGCAAUGAAAGUAAAGGUCCGCCUCGCGCGGACCUAGGGAGGAUGCGCCCGGCACUGACCGGGCGCCGCACUCCCGGGGCGUCUCGUUCUCAUAGCGAGAAGAGGCGCACCCAGAGCGUACACGCUGGGACCCGAAAGAUGGUGAACUAUGCCUGGUCAGGACGAAGUCAGGGGAAACCCUGAUGGAGGUCCGUAGCGAUUCUGACGUGCAAAUCGAUCGUCGGAACUGGGUAUAGGGGCGAAAGACUAAUCGAACCUUCUAGUAGCUGGUUCCCUCCGAAGUUUCCCUCAGGAUAGCUGGCGCUCGCCUUGCGAGUCUCAUUCGGUAAAGCGAAUGAUUAGAGGCAUUGGGGUCGAAACGGCCUCAACCUAUUCUCAAACUUUAAAUGGGUGAGAUCUCCGGCUUGCUUGAACGGUGAAGCCGCGAGAGAUCAUCGGAUCACAGAGUGCCAAGUGGGCCACUUUUGGUAAGCAGAACUGGCGCUGUGGGAUGAACCAAACGCCGAGUUAAAGCGCCUAAAUCGACGCUUAUGGGAUACCAUGAAAGGCGUUGGUAACUUAAGA
rnacentral:rRNA from 1 species